AUUGAACGCUGGCGGCAUGCUUUACACAUGCAAGUCGAACGGUAACAGGCCUUCGGGUGCUGACGAGUGGCGAACGGGUGAGUAAUGCAUCGGAACGUGCCCAAUCGUGGGGGAUAACGUAGCGAAAGUUACGCUAAUACCGCAUAAGCCCUGAGGGGGAAAGUGGGGGACCGCAAGGCCUCACGCGAAUGGAGCGGCCGAUGUCAGAUUAGCUAGUUGGUGGGGUAAAGGCCCACCAAGGCGACGAUCUGUAGCGGGUCUGAGAGGAUGAUCCGCCACACUGGGACUGAGACACGGCCCAGACUCCUACGGGAGGCAGCAGUGGGGAAUUUUGGACAAUGGGCGCAAGCCUGAUCCAGCCAUGUCGCGUGCGGGACGAAGGCC
rnacentral:rRNA from 1 species